rnacentral:rRNA from 1 species
GAGACAGCAGUCGCCACGGUAAUACGGAGGGAGCUAGCGUUGUUCGGAAUUACUGGGCGUAAAGCGCACGUAGGCGGCUAUUCAAGUCAGGGGUGAAAGCCCGAGGCUCAACCCCGGAACUGCCUUUGAAACUAGAUAGCUUGAAUCUUGGAGAGGCGAGUGGAAUUCCGAGUGUAGAGGUGAAAUUCGUAGAUAUUCGGAAGAACACCAGUGGCGAAGGCGACUCGCUGGACAAGUAUUGACGCUGAGGUGCGAAAGCGUGGGGAGCGAACAGGAUUAGAGACCCCUGUAGUCCCUGUCUCUUAUAA